rfam:Daphnia pulex DAPPTscaffold_301_Cont8504, whole genome shotgun sequence.
GCAUCAAUGGUUCAGUGGUAGAAUACUCGCCUGCCACGCGGGUGGCCCGGGUUGGAUUCCCGAUCGAUGUA